AGAGUUUGAUCAUGGCUCAGAUUGAACGCUGGCGGAAUGCUUUACACAUGCAAGUCGAACGGCAGCACGGGAGCUUGCUCCUGGUGGCGAGUGGCGAACGGGUGAGUAAUAUAUCGGAACGUAUCCAAUAAUGGGGGAUAACUAGUCGAAAGACUUGCUAAUACCGCAUACGCCCUACGGGGGAAAGCAGGGGAUCGUAAGACCUUGCGUUAAUGGAGCGGCCGAUAUCUGAUUAGCUAGUUGGUGAGGUAAAGGCUCACCAAGGCUUUGAUCAGUAGCUGGUCUGAGAGGACGACCAGCCACACUGGAACUGAGACACGGUCCAGACUCCUACGGGAGGCAGCAGUGGGGAAUUUUGGACAAUGGGGGCAACCCUGAUCCAGCCAUUCCGCGUGAGUGAAGAAGGCCUUCGGGUUGUAAAGCUCUUUCGCAAGGAAAGAAAACUUACCCAUUAACACCGGAUGAGGCUGACGGUACCUUGAUAAGAAGCACCGGCUAACUACGUGCCAGCAGCCGCGGUAAUACGUAGGGUGCAAGCGUUAAUCGGAAUUACUGGGCGUAAAGCGUGCGCAGGCGGUCUUGAAAGUCAGAUGUGAAAGCCCCGGGCUCAACCUGGGAACUGCGUUUGAAACUCCAAGACUAGAGUAUGGCAGAGGGGGGUAGAAUUCCACGUGUAGCAGUGAAAUGCGUAGAGAUGUGGAGAAAUACCAAUGGCGAAGGCAGCCCC
rnacentral:rRNA from 1 species